CCUCUUCGUGUAAACAUUGCUUUGGGCACCUUAUGAGUGCCCACUGAACUUUGACUGCACAAGGCUGGUGAUUCCACACUUGUAUUUGUUCAAUGUUGAUUUUUUUGGGUGCCUGGUAUUGGCCAAGGGCCCAAUGGGCCCUUAGGGAGUUUUGCCGCACCCAGACCAUGGUAAAAGGCUGUGAAACUCGAAAGAAGUGAGGUUGG
rnacentral:lncRNA from 1 species